CAGGCCUAACACAUGCAAGUCGAGGGGUAACAGAGGGUGCUUGCACUCUGCUGACGACCGGCGCACGGGUGCGUAACGCGUAUGCAACCUACCUUCUACAGGGGGAUAGCCCAGAGAAAUUUGGAAUAAUACCCCAUACGAUUAUCGAUUGGCAUCGAUUGAUAAAGAAAACUUCGGUGGUAGAAGAUGGGCAUGCGUCCUAUUAGUUAGUUGGUGAGGUAACGGCUCACCAAGACGUCGAUAGGUAGGGGCCCUGAGAGGGGGAUCCCCCACACUGGUACUGAGACACGGACCAGACUCCUACGGGAGGCAGCAGUGAGGAAUAUUGGACAAUGGGGGGAACCCUGAUCCAGCCAUGCCGCGUGCAGGAAGACUGCCCUAUGGGUUGUAAACUGCUUUUAUACAGGAAGAAACUGCGCUACGUGUAGCGUACUGACGGUACUGUAAGAAUAAGGAUCGGCUAACUCCGUGCCAGCAGCCGCGGUAAUACGGAGGAUCCAAGCGUUAUCCGGAAUCAUUGGGUUUAAAGGGUCCGUAGGUGGUCUACUAAGUCAGAGGUGAAAGCCUAUCGCUCAACGAUAGAAACUGCCUUUGAUACUGAUGGACUUGAGUUAUUGUGAAGUAGUUUAGAAUAUGUAGUGUAGCGGUG
rnacentral:rRNA from 1 species